UGUGUUUUGGUGAUGGUGAUGUGUUUGUACAUCUUACUUUACUGAACAUUCUUGCUGCUUACAAUUAUUUCUAUCUAUAAUGAACUUGGCCCAGUAGUUUCAGUGGAAAAUAUUAGUUAAAAUUUACAAAUUUUAUGAAAAUUGUUAAAAAUUGACUAUAAAGGACAAUAACUCCUUAGGAGUCAAUUGACCAUUUCCGUCAUGUUGACUUAUUUGUAAAUCGUACUUUGCUUAACAUUAUUGAUGUUUACAGUUUAUCUCUAUCUAUAAUAUUAUUCAAG
rnacentral:lncRNA from 1 species